AGAUAUGAUCCAGAGUACCACGGGACACGUGAAACCCAGUGGGAAGCAGGAGGGACCACCCUCCAAGGCUAAAUACUACCUAGUGACCGAUAGCGUAUAGUACCGGGAGGGAAAGGUGAAAAGAACCCCGGGAGGGGAGUGAAAUAGAACCUGAAACCCUGCACUUACAAGCUGUGGAAGCACAUUUCUUGUGUGACCGCGUACUUUUUGUAGAACGGGCCAACGAGUUACGU
rnacentral:rRNA from 1 species